rnacentral:rRNA from 1 species
AGAGCGAACGCUGGCGGCAGGCCUAACACAUGCAAGUCGAGCGCCCCGCAAGGGGAGCGGCAGACGGGAGAGUAACACGUGGGAACGUACCCUUUGGUUCGGAACAACACAGGGAAACUUGUGCUAAUACCGGAUAAGCCCUUACGGGGAAAGAUUUAUUGCCAAAGGAUCGGCCCGCGUCUGAUUAGCUUGUUGGUGAGGUAACGGCUCACCAAGGCUACGAUCAGUAGCUGGUCUGAGAGGAUGAUCAGCCUCACUGGGACUGAGACACGGCCCAGACUCCUACGGGAGGCAGCAGUGGGGAAUAUUGGACAAUGGGCGCAAGCCUGAUCCAGCCAUGCCGCGUGGAUGAUGAAGGCCUUAGGGUUGUAAAGUCCUUUUAACGGGGAAGAUAAUGACGGUACCCGUAGAAUAAGCCCCGGCUAACUUCGUGCCAGCAGCCGC